GACGAACGCUGGCGGCGUGCCUAAUACAUGCAAGUCGAACGAACUCUGGUAUUGAUUGGUGCUUGCAUCAUGAUUUACAUUUGAGUGAGCGGCGAACUGGUGAGUAACACGUGGGAAACCUGCCCAGAAGCGGGGGAUAACACCUGGAAACAGAUGCUAAUACCGCAUAACAACUUGGACCGCAUGGUCCGAGCUUGAAAGAUGGCUUCGGCUAUCACUUUUGGAUGGUCCCACGGCGUAUUAGCUAGAUGGUGGGGUAACGGCUCACCAUGGCAAUUAUACGUAGCCGACCUGAGAGUGUAAUCGGCCACAUUGGGACUGAGACACGGCCCAAACUCCUACGGGAGGCAGCAGUAGGGAAUCUUCCACAAUGGACGAAAGUCUGAUGGAGCAACGCCGCGUGAGUGAAGAAGGGUUUCGGCUCGUAAAACUCUGUUGUUAAAGAAGAACAUAUCUGAGAGUAACUGUUCAGGUAUUGACGGUAUUUAACCAGAAAGCCACGGCUAACUACGUGCCAGCCGCCGCCGCGG
rnacentral:rRNA from 1 species